rnacentral:rRNA from 1 species
UGUCCUUAGUACGAGAGGACCGGGAUGGACGAACCUCUGGUGUUCCAGUUGUCAUGCCAAUGGCACGGCUGGGUAGCCAAGUUCGGUUGUGAUAAACGCUGAAUGCAUAUAAGCGUGAAGCACUCCACAAGAUGAGAUCUCCCAACCCGUAAGGGUGAUGAAGGGCACUGGAAGACAACCAGUUUGAUAGGUUUGAAGUGUAAGAUCGGCAACGAUUUCAGCUUACAAAUACUAAUCGCCCGUUCGGCUUGACCAU